AAAUCGUAACAAGGUUUCCGUAGGUGAACCUGCGGAAGGAUCAUUA
rnacentral:rRNA from 2 species